CCUACGGGAGGCAGCAGUGAGGAAUAUUGGUCAAUGGGCGAGAGCCUGAACCAGCCAAGUCGCGUGAAGGAUGACGGCCCUACGGGUUGUAAACUUCUUUUGUCAGGGAGCAAUUGGGUCCACUCGUGCGCUUAGCGAUAGUACCUGAAGAAUAAGCAUCGGCUAACUCCGUGCCAGCAGCCGAGGUAAUACGGUGGAUUCGCGCGUUAUCCGGAGUUUUUGGGGUUAAAUGGUGCGUAGGCGGAAUAUCAAGUCAGCGGUAAAAAUUCGGGGCUCAACCCCGUCGUGCCGUUGAAACUGAUGUUCUUGAGUGGGCGAGAAGUAUGCGGAAUGCGCGGUGUAGCGGUGAAAUGCAUAGAUAUCAAGAAGAACACUGAUUGCGAAGGCAGCAUACCGGCGCCUAACUGACGCUGAAGCACGAAAGCGUGGGUAGCGAACAGGAUUAGAUACCCGGGUAGUC
rnacentral:rRNA from 1 species